AUUGAACGCUGGCGGCAGGCCUAACACAUGCAAGUCGAGCGAGCGGCGGACGGGUGAGUAAUGUAUGGGGACUGCCCGAUAGAGGGGGAUAACUACUGGAAACGGUAGCUAAUACCGCAUACUAUCGGAUAACCCAUUUGGGAUGAGCUAGUAGGGGAGGUAAUGGCUCACCAAGGCAACGAGCCGUAGCUGGUUUGAGAGGACGACCAGCCACACUGGGAAUGGGACACUGCCCAGACUCCUACGGAGGCAGAAGUGGGGAAUUUUGGACAAUGGGGGAAACCCUGAUCCAGCCAUCCCGCGUGUAUGAUGAAGGCCUUCGGGUUGUAAAGUACUUUUGGCAGAGAAGCGGUAUCUGCAGAAUAAGCACCGGCUAACUACGUGCCAGCAGCCGCGGUAAUAC
rnacentral:rRNA from 1 species